UACGUAGGGACCAAGCGUUGUUCGGAUUUACUGGGCGUAAAGGGCGCGUAGGCGGCUUGCCAAGUCACUUGUGAAAUCUCCGGGCUUAACUCGGAACGGCCAAGUGAAACUGUCAUGCUAGAGUGCAGAAGGGGCAAUCGGAAUUCUUGGUGUAGCGGUGAAAUGCGUAGAUAUCAAGAGGAACACCUGAGGUGAAGACGGGUUGCUGGGCUGACACUGACGCUGAGGCGCGAAAGCCAGGGGAGCAAACGGG
rnacentral:rRNA from 1 species